rnacentral:rRNA from 1 species
UACGUAGGGUGCGAGCGUUAAUCGGAAUUACUGGGCGUAAAGUGUGCGCAGGCGGCCGCGCAAGUCGAGUGUGAAAGCCCCGGGCUUAACUUGGGAAUUGCGCUCGAAACUACGUGGCUGGAGUAUGGCAGAGGAAGGUGGAAUUCCACGUGUAGCGGCGAAAUGCGUAGAGAUGUGGAGGAACACCGAUGGCGAAGGCAGCCUUCUGGGCCAAUACUGACGCUCAUGCACGAAAGCGUGGGGAGCAAACAGG